rnacentral:rRNA from 1 species
GACGAACCGUGCGAACGUUAUUCGGAAUCACUGGGCUUAAAGCGCGUGUAGGCGGGAGGGCACGUCCGUCGCUGAAAUCCCCCGGCUCAACCGGGGAACGGGCGCGGAUACGACCUUCCUUGAGGGGCGUAGGGGGACCUGGAACUUCCGGUGGAGCGGUGAAAUGCGUUGAGAUCGGAAGGAACGCCCGUGGCGAAAGCGAGGUCCUGGACGCCUACUGACGCUGAGACGCGAAAGCGUGGGGAGCGAACAGG